GUUUUACACUUGAUCUUUGAACUUCGGGUAAGUUCAUGUGUUGAAAAAAUCCGAAU
rnacentral:snoRNA from 1 species